UACGGAGGGUGCAAGCGUUGUCCGGAUUUAUUGGGUUUAAAGGGUGCGUAGGCGGUUUAUUAAGUCAGUGGUGAAAACCUGCAGCUCAACUGUAGAAUUGCCAUUGAUACUGAUAGACUUGAGUACAGACGAGGUAGGCGGAAUUUAUGGUGUAGCGGUGAAAUGCAUAGAUACCAUAAAGAACACCUAUUGCGAAGGCAGCUUACUAGGCUGUAACUGACGCUGAGGCACGAAAAGCGUGGGGAUCGAACAGG
rnacentral:rRNA from 1 species